UUAGAGACCGGCGCACGGGUGCGUAACGCGUAUGCAAUCUACCUUUCACAGAGGGAUAGCCCAGAGAAAUUUGGAUUAAUACCUCAUAGUAUAGCAGUUUCGCAUGAAACCACUAUUAAAGUCACAACGGUGAAAGAUGAGCAUGCGUCCCAUUAGCUAGUUGGUAAGGUAACGGCUUACCAAGGCAACGAUGGGUAGGGGUCCUGAGAGGGAGAUCCCCCACACUGGUACUGAGACACGGACCAGACUCCUACGGGAGGCAGCAGUGAGGAAUAUUGGACAAUGGGCGCAAGCCUGAUCCAGCCAUGCCGCGUGCAGGAUGACGGUCCUAUGGAUUGUAAACUGCUUUUAUACGAGAAGAAACCCUCCGACGUGUCGGAGCUUGACGGUAUCGUAAGAAUAAGGAUCGGCUAACUCCGUGCCAGCAGCCGCGGUAAUACGGAGGAUCCAAGCGUUAUCCGGAAUCAUUGGGUUUAAAGGGUCCGUAGGCGGUCAGGUAAGUCAGUGGUGAAAGCCCAUCGCUCAACGGUGGAACGGCCAUUGAUACUGUCUGACUUGAAUUAUUAGGAAGUAACUAGAAUAUGUAGUGUAGCGGUGAAAUGCUUAGAGAUUACAUGGAAUACCAAUUGCGAAGGCAGGUUACUACUAAUGGAUUGACGCUGAUGGACG
rnacentral:rRNA from 1 species